UGUCCAGGCGAUGCCCUGAUCAAACGGCUGCAAGAACCAGGCGCCGCCUCUCUCCUCGUCACGCGCCGGUGCCUCCCGUGCCGCUCUUCUCGUCCCGUCGCGCGCCGGCUCCUCCCACCGCAUCCUCCUGCGCCGCCGCCUUUCACCGCAUCCGCUCGCGUCGCCGCCUUCCACCGCAUCCGCUCGCGUCGCCGCCUCCUCUCACUGUAGACACCGCCGCCGCCUCACAUCUGAUCUGCCGGAGCAGCCGCUUGUAGACACAUCCGCGGCCGCCACUGACUUCCCCAGUGCAGACAUCAGAUCCGCUGGCAAUUACUUCUCUGUUCGGUCACCUCUGUCCGGACACCGGGUCUUCUCCAACAAGAACCACGAGGAGCAUCUUCUGCUACAUCAUCUAGGGUUGAUAUACAUGAGAUUGGGUGCUUUUGUGAGGUAACGGAGGAGGUACUAAUACCCUUGCAAUAACGCGCUUCUAUUAUUGUGAUGUACCUGAGAAAUGUGCAAUUAAUUUGGGGAAUUUCUAGCAACCAAGAUUAGCUUUUAGAUAUUAAUGAUUUAGCUUCAGUUUAUGUCAUUUUGUUUUGUACAAUUUAAUCCCUGCUACUUGUUACUGUAAUAGCUAUCUACAUUUGUAUCUAUAAUCUCAAUGUGCACUAAUCUUAUAGUCUGAAUUGACAUGCUUUCUAGACUAUUGUGCAACCAAUCUUAGUUAGUUUACCAUUUUCGUAAUUUUUUCUUUCCUUUUUAGAUUUUUCUGGGUGGUGUUUUGAAUUUCUGCAACUUUAUGCGCCGCAUAUUAAAAUCUUUUGUAAUGGUGAAACCUUCGUCCCUAGUCCAAACAAACCAAUCCCCUACCUGUCCGAACAAAUCUAAUGCUAAUCCCAUGGUGGAAGGGAUUGAU